rnacentral:rRNA from 1 species
AACGAACGCUGGCGGCAGGCCUAACACAUGCAAGUCGAGCGAGGACUUCGGUUCUAGCGGCGGACGGGUGAGUAACGCGUGGGAAUGUGCCCUUCUCUACGGAAUAGCCCUGGGAAACUGGGAGUAAUACCGUAUACGCCCUAUUGGGGAAAGAUUUAUCGGAGAAGGAUCAGCCCGCGUUGGAUUAGGUAGUUGGUGGGGUAAUGGCCUACCAAGCCGACGAUCCAUAGCUGGUUUGAGAGGAUGAUCAGCCACACUGGGACUGAGACACGGCCCAGACUCCUACGGGAGGCAGCAGUGGGGAAUCUUAGACAAUGGGGGCAACCCUGAUCUAGCCAUGCCGCGUGAGUGAUGAAGGCCUUAGGGCUGUAAAGCUCUUUCAGCUGGGAAGAUAAUGACGGUACCAGCAGAAGAAGCCCCGGCUAACUCCGUG